AUUGAACGCUGGCGGCAGGCCUAACACAUGCAAGUCGAACGAGUGGCGGACGGGUGAGUAAUGUCUGGGAAACUGCCCGAUGGAGGGGGAUAACUACUGGAAACGGUAGCUAAUACCGCAUACCAUCGGAUGUGCCCAGAUGGGAUUAGCUAGUAGGUGGGGUAACGGCUCACCUAGGAGACGAGCCCUAGCGGGUCUGAGAGGAUGACCAGCCACUCUGGAACGGAGACACGGUCCCGACUCCUACGGGAGGCAGCAGUGGGGAAUAUUGCACAAUGGGCGCAAGCCUGAUGCAGCCAUGCCGCGUGUGUGAAGAAGGCCUUCGGGUUGUAAGGCACUUUCAGCGGGGAGGCGUUACCCGCAGAAGAAGCACCGGCUAACUCCGUGCCAGCAGCCGCGGUAAUUC
rnacentral:rRNA from 1 species